UUCAGGUCCUUCGUCUUCAAACGACUGAUCUCCGAAUAACUCUCCUGCAGCCCUGUUCCCCUGUCGCUCGUCGACGGUGGCGGCUGCAUAGAUCUGGUGCUUACCUGGUGGACGACGACUACUCCCUGGGCAGUUGCUCCCUGCCUCCUCCCCCUCCCACUCCGGCUUCCAGGUCUCUUGGCUCCAUCUACCGCGCAUCCCGACGACGCGCUGCACAUCCUCGUCAGGGACCGGCCGGGCUGCCGCCGCCGGUCUCCUCCACCCCGAUGACCACGGGCUCCCCACCCGCUCAGCUGCCCAUUUGUACCUUUCCGGAGCCAAGCUGGUAGUGGUCGAGUGGGCGGUGGUGCCUCCACGGUCGCCUCCUCCCCGCACUCCUAGAUCCAGCAGUAUCUCACCGUAGGCAACCUGGUGGUGCUCGAUCUGCUCGCCUUCUUCGCCUGGCAGGCUCAGCAUCAAGUACGAGCAGACGCGUCGCUGGAUGAAGCCAUGGGCAAUGGGACGAGGCAUCGGCGACACUGACUGCAGGAUUGACACCGUCUCUGCAGGUCCCUGAUGUGGGUGCACCGCAUUGCUUGGCGGUGCAUGGCUGGAGCUCCCGCCGACCAUCAGGUUGAGGUGGGGAGGAGCAGGUGGCAUGCAGACUGAAUCAGGCGGAGAGCGCGGGCACUCGAAGACGCGACUCCUGAAUGACGGCUUGACCACGGCGGUCGACAAUCUGAAAAUAUCACCGAACAUGAAGACUGAAGAGCAAGAAGCACUAUAACUGGAGGCAAAGGGAUUUUUUUUUUCUUUCAUGUGCUAUCAAGAUAACAAACCCGAUGCAAGUUUUGGUAGCAAUGUUUAUUCAGCGGGCAUCAUUUCAGUUCUUCAUUCUCGGGCUCGCUGUUCAUGUACUACAAAAUAUCUCUUGUGUACCCGAAUUAAGAUAGAUGACAUACACUCAAAUAUUUCUUCCCAGGAUGAUCCACUUAGACAUGUGUUCAGAAAUUUGUGCUUGACAUGUACUCUCAUAUUUGUGUUUGGGGUGGUCCAGCAUGGGAUGAACUAGGAACAGAUUGGCUUAACCAUAUUAAGUUUUCUUGCAUAAUCGGUGAUCUAGUACAAGCGACUACUGUACAAUUUGGGCAUCGACGAUGUGAGGAUUUGAAAUUGGGAUAAAAUG